rnacentral:rRNA from 1 species
GCAAGCGUUGUUCGGAAUUACUGGGCGUAAAGGGCUCGUAGGUGGCCAACUAAGUCAGACGUGAAAUCCCCAGGCUCAACUUGGGAACUGCGUCUGAUACUGGAUGGCUUGAAUUCGGGAGAGGGGUGCAGAAUUCCAGGUGUAGCGGUGAAAUGCGUAGAUAUCUGGAGGAAUACCGGUGGCGAAGGCGGCAUCCUGGACCGAAAUUGACACUGAGGAGCGAAAGCCAGGGGAGCAAACGGG